AGGGUAUUUGCAGAGCACCAGUCUGGCAAGCCAGAGUGAGUGUGUGUUCGCUCAGUGCCUCCGCUGCUAUUUCUACUCCUCACUGGGAAUUUACCAACGGAACAUGUUUCCAGCCACCUUCAAAGGGAAUUCCAUGUUACAAUGUCUGACGUAGACUCAUCAGAGGCUGCUGCCAACCUGUUGAGUGAAGCAGAGGAUUUGCCAGGCAAGACGGCUUGGAAGAUUCCUGUGCUCUCUCACCUUGGUGAGAUACAUGCAGUGUCCCUUUGGACUGUCUCUUUUCCUAACAAGCUGCCAUGAUGAGAGAGACAGACCACAGCCCAGUCAUGUUCCUGUCAGCAGGGCAGCUGGGGCUAGGCUACACAUGCUGGACAUUGUGAAUGAAAGUCCCAAGCAGACCUGGGUUCAAAUCCUAUUAAAAGCGUUCAAACACUUGGAGCAUUUGCUUGAGUCUGCCUGGAGUGCCAGGUGGUGGGUGGGACUUUUCAGUUGGUUCCAUUGCAUCAGGAAAUCUCAUCAAGCGCCGGCUAAAGCAUUUGAAAUGAUUCUCAACACUAUUUGAACCCAGCGCUGGCCCUAAGGCAGGAAACCCAUCUGAUUUGUUUCAGGAUGUAAUAAGGUCUUCCUAAGGGCCUGUGUUUGGGGUGCGAUCGGUGGAGGGAAAUGUGUUUCUGCAGCAUUGAAUCCCUGAUGAGCUAGAUGACGUUAUGCUCAUUGUUUUGAUAAAACGUUUAAACCCAAGCAACUCUAAUGAACUUGUGUGCAGUGGCGUACCACAUUUUCCUUCCAUAGACAAGCAAUGGGAGCACACUCUUGAGUUUGAAGUCUUGUGUCACUGUCGCAGAAAUGAAGGAUAUUCAUUAGAAGUCAAUUAAGUUUCUAUCAGUGUAGUUACAGUAGAUUGUGUCCCUGUCAUGUUCAAUGCAGUGUUUGCGGUUCAUUUAUUAGCGCACAUGACAUGAGCGCAAAGCAAAAAUAUGUC
ensembl:lncRNA